GGUCUUGUAUUCAUUUUGUGAUUAUAGAAUGCAAUUCUGUAGGGGUGAGUUAAAGGACUUAUCAAGGCCU
rnacentral:tRNA from 2 species